rnacentral:rRNA from 1 species
UACAGAGACUGCAAGCGUUGUUCGGAUUCAUUGGGCGUAAAGGGUGCGCAGGCGGUGUGCUAAGUCGGAUGUGAAAUCUCACAGCCUAACUGUGAUAGGUCAUUCGAUACUGGCGUGCUUGAGGACUGGAGAGGAGACUGGAAUUCAUGGUGUAGCAGUGAAAUGCGUAGAGAUCAUGAGGAAGACCAGUGGCGAAGGCGGGUCUCUGGACAGUUCCUGACACUGAGACACGAAGGCCAGGGGAGCAAACGGG